GACGAACGCUGGCGGCGUGCUUAACACAUGCAAGUCGAACGGAAAGGCCCUGCUUUUGUGGGGUGCUCGAGUGGCGCACGGGUGAGUAACACGUGAGUAACCUGCCCUUGACUUUGGGAUAACUUCAGGAAACUGGGGCUAAUACCGGAUAGGAGCUCCUGCUGCAUGGUGGGGGUUGGAAAGUUUCGGCGGUUGGGGAUGGACUCGCGGCUUAUCAGCUUGUUGGUGGGGUAGUGGCUUACCAAGGCUUUGACGGGUAGCCGGCCUGAGAGGGUGACCGGCCACAUUGGGACUGAGCUACGGCCCAGACUCCUACGGGAGGCAGCAGUGGGGAAUAUUGCACAGUGGGCGGAAGCCUGAUGCAGCAACGCCGCGUGCGGGAUGACGGCCUUCGGGUUGUAAACCGCUUUCGCCUGUGACGAAGCGUGAGUGACGGUAAUGGGUAAAGAAGCACCGGCUAACUACGUG
rnacentral:rRNA from 1 species